rnacentral:tRNA from 1 species
GGAAACGUGCCCGAAAGUCAGGGAUUACUUUGAUAGAGUAAACCAUAGGGGUUCGAACCCCCUCAUUUCCU